CUUCAUUUUAUUGAGUGGAAUUUUCCUUCCCUCCUCUAAUCCCAUUGCCCAGAGAUAAUCGUAGUGAUAUUUUGAUGUAUGUUCACCUAUUCUUUUUUCUUUGGUCACACACAGAGACAGAAGUGCCCCCAAGGAAUGACUCAGAACUCUGGGAACUCCAGGCCAUGUGGGCAGAAGGGUGAUGUCCUGCCACAUCAUGGGAAAGAUUACUUGGAACUGCAGAUUCAUCACUUCUCCAGGGUGAUAUAAAAGGUCAUCGAAUCCAGCUGCCAACCAGAUGCUAGAGCUCCCUGGGCAAAAUCCCAAUGAGAAAACUGAGGCUCAAAGAGGUGAAGUGACCGGAAGCGAACUGUCUGACUCCAUUUCAUCCCAAGAGCCAGCUUGUCUCUCCAUGGAUUGGCCUGUCGUGUGGCAAGAAGUACGAGCUUGGACUUGGUAACAAAUUAAGAACCUAUCUUUCCUCCUUCCUUCUCCCUUCUCUCCUACCACUUCCUCCCAAGCCCCAACUUUCUCCUCCCCACCGAAGAAAAGCAGGGGCUGAAGGUGAAUGACAGAGUUAGGGGACACUUGCAAGGUCUCCAGGGGUCAGAGACUUCCUGCCCAGGCCUGCCUGGGAAUUGGGAAGUUCCGUGGGGACUGAGGGAAGAGGGGAAGGGAGAUGGAGAGUCAUUUCCAGGAAUGGAGGUGCAGGGAGGGUCCUGGCAAGGGUGGGAGAGAACAAAGCUGG